GAACUCUCGCUGAGGAGCACGGAACCGCUGUGAUUGAUGUGACUGAGGAAGGCUGACAUUUACCACCUGAGAGGAUCUUCUCCUGUGACACGUUCUCCGAUCACACCAAAGUCCACCGCAGUUAGCAGCUACUUGGAAGUCUGGCUCCUGGUGUGGUUACAUUUAUACAGCUUGAUAAUUGGGUGAACAACAAUUGUGUGCUGGCCCCAGGAUACUAAUUCGACCUUCUGUCUGACUCUGAGAACACAAGGCUCAGUACCUGCAGAAACAUUUUACCCAUCUCAUCUGGGAAUGCGGACAACACGUCUUCAU